UACGAAGGGGGCUAGCGUUGUUCGGAAUUACUGGGCGUAAAGCGCGCGUAGGCGGACUGACAAGUCGGGGGUGAAAUCCCGAGGCUCAACCUCGGAACUGCCUUCGAUACUGUCAGUCUUGAGGUCGGGAGAGGUGAGUGGAACUCCGAGUGUAGAGGUGAAAUUCGUAGAUAUUCGGAAGAACACCAGUGGCGAAGGCGGCUCACUGGCCCGAUUCUGACGCUGAGGCGCGAAAGCGUGGGGAGCAAACAGG
rnacentral:rRNA from 1 species